ACGCUGGCGGCGUGCCUAAUACAUGCAAGUAGAACGCUGAAGAGAGGAGCUUGCUCUUCUUGGAUGAGUUGCGAACGGGUGAGUAACGCGUAGGUAACCUGCCUUGUAGCGGGGGAUAACUAUUGGAAACGAUAGCUAAUACCGCAUAACAAUGGAUGACACAUGUCAUUUAUUUGAAAGGGGCAAUUGCUCCACUACAAGAUGGACCUGCGUUGUAUAGCUAGUAGGUGAGGUAACGGCUCACCUAGGCGACGAUACAUAGCCGACCUGAGAGGGUGAUCGGCCACACUGGGACUGAGACACGGCCCAGACUCCUACGGGAGGCAGCAGUAGGGAAUCUUCGGCAAUGGGGGCAACCCUGACCGAGCAACGCCGCGUGAGUGAAGAAGGUUUUCGGAUCGUAAAGCUCUGUUGUAAGUCAAGAACGAGUGUGAGAGUGGAAAGUUCACACUGUGACGGUAGCUUACCAGAAAGGGACGGCUAACUACGUGCCAGCAGCCGCGGUAAUACGUAGGUCCCGAGCGUUGUCCGGAUUUAUUGGGCGUAAAGCGAGCGCAGGCGGUUUGAUAAGUCUGAAGUUAAAGGCUGUGGCUCAACCAUAGUUCGCUUUGGAAACUGUCAAACUUGAGUGCAGAAGGGGAGAGUGGAAUUCCAUGUGUAGCGGUGAAAUGCGUAGAUAUAUGGAGGAACACCGGUGGCGAAAGCGGCUCUCUGGUCUGUAACUGACGCUGAGGCUCGAAAGCGUGGGGAGCGAACAGGAUUAGAUACCCUGGUAGUCCACGCCGUAAACGAUGAGUGCUAGGUGUUGGAUCCUUUCCGGGAUUCAGUGCCGCAGCUAACGCAUUAAGCACUCCGCCUGGGGAGUACGACCGCAAGGUUGAAACUCAAAGGAAUUGACGGGGGCCCGC
rnacentral:rRNA from 1 species